UACGGAGGGAGCUAGCGUUGUUCGGAAUUACUGGGCGUAAAGCGCGCGUAGGCGGCUUUGUAAGUUAGAGGUGAAAGCCCGGGGCUCAACCCCGGAAUUGCCUUUAAGACUGCAUCGCUUGAAUCCGGGAGAGGUGAGUGGAAUUCCGAGUGUAGAGGUGAAAUGCGUAGAUAUCGGGAGGAACACCAGUGGCAAAGGCGGUCUUCUGGGCUGUACCUGACGCUGAGGCGCGAAAGCGUGGGGAGCAAACCGG
rnacentral:rRNA from 1 species